ACAAAGCCACAUCUAUUUC
rnacentral:piRNA from 1 species